UGAGCUGCAGUUUCACUCAGCUCUAAAUUUAGCUAGCUAGCUAAGUAGUUAGCCUUCUAAACAAAUAUUUAGCUUCAGCUAGAUGGCAAGAUCAAUAUUAAAUUUGAAAGUUAAAUAUUUAGCUGUGAAUUAAUAAAAACAGCAACAUGAUGAAAAUAUGACUGAAAAAUGAACCACAUUGUUUUCGUUAUGACACGACGAACCAAAUUAUUGCUGUUAAUUUUCUUACUGUAACUUUACAAACGGCACUCUAAGCCCAGCAGCAGCCUGGUUGCCCUGGUUGCCCAGCAGCCUGGUUGCCCCGGUUGCAGGUUGCCCAGCAGCCUGGUUGCCCCGGUUGCCCAGCAGCCUGGUUGCCCUGGUUGCAGGUUGCCCAGCAGCCUGGUUGCCCUGGUUGCAGGUUGCCCAGCAGCCUGGUUGCCCCGGUUGCAGGUUGCCCAGCAGCCUGGUUGCCCCGGUUGCAGGUUGACUCCAGGUGUGAUUAUUUUUCUGGUUUGUAACUGAAGAACUUCUUGCUUUUGUUUCUCUGUUGGUUUUUAUAUCAUUUCUUAUGUCUCUUUGUUUUGUAAGAAAAUAAUUAAAAGCAGAAUUUCAGCC